GCCUCCCUCUGGUCAUGCCUGCGUCAGAGCACCUGUCCCUCCUCGUCUCGCGCUCCGACAGUGCCCCAGGCUCCUGAUGCCUGCUCUUGUCACCCCACGGCGUGGUGGCCUGACUCGUCCCCCCUCACAGAAGCACCCAGCACCCACACCUCCCUAUCCACUUUUGCCACACCUUCCCGGGCUCCGAGAACCUGAUCAGGCUCGGGUCCUUCCUUUCCCGCACUCGAGGGCCAAGCGCUGCCAGAUGCCCUGCUGCACGCCUGACCUGCUGGGGUCGACUUCUGCGGAUGAUGCCCUUCCUGCUCCCCGUGCCCAUGGCCCAGGCCUGGCCUUCCUUGCAGUCUGAGGCUGUGUCCUUCCUCCCACCCCACCCUUUCUCAGCCCCCAAAGGUCCCGGAGCUUUCCCUGUGGGCAGGCGCUCUGCGCUUCUGUUACCAUCAGUGCUGUGGGGUGGGGGGCGCCAAGCCGUCCUCCCUUCUCCCCGUCCCUCCCUGCCUGUCAGGAUGGCACCCUGGUUAUAACGUCCAUCACAGGAAACGUCAGGUACGAUGCAGAGAGGCACGGGGAGGAGCACAGACUUGCUUCUCAGACCCCUGUCCUCCUGCUGAAAGUCGGGGGUCUGCCUGACAUAGGGCUCCACAGCCCUGCCCAUCUCCCUUAGCUGUGUGGGUCAGGGUGGGCACAGACGGGGCUGGUCCUCCUGGUGAUGAGUGACACGCCACACGGCCCCUCCCCAGUUGAUGGGAAUGCCACGUCCAGUGUUUUCCUGUGCCAUACAGCACUGAGGGCGGCGUCUUCUCACCUACACUUUUCUUUCCAAAUUCUGAUUGUGGCCCCAGAUGGGUCCGAGAGGGGGCCUGGCCAUGUCAGAGCAUGUGCUUUAGAAAGGGGCUGUCGGUGGAUGCUGUAGAUGCCCGCUGGGCACAUGCAGCCCCUGCGGGUGGUGGAGGGCAGCCCGCGGCCUCUGGCCCUUACUUGAUGACGGCCGGCCUGGCUCUUCCCAUUCAUGGCCGUGGACUCUGUCUGCUGGGUUUUUCUCCUUUUGCACGUCAUGCACUUAGACCUCCAGGUGUGCCGGGAGUCUCAUGUCGUGCGUGGGCUUUUCCUUCACGCCCAUUGCCGAGUGGUGGGGCGAGAGUGAGACCCUUGGGUGGGACGUGGCUUCACUGGUGGCUCCUGGCCCAGCUCUGGUGUCGCAGGAGCUGAUCUGUCACCCUGCACUUCGGUGACAAGCUCCUUCCCACGGUUGGCCUGCCGCCUUCACCGUACGACUGCUCGUCCCGUGUGUGCCGUGUUUCCUGCUCCCCCGACCCCAGCCCAGUGGAAGCCCCUCGGCCACUCUUGUGAAAGUUUUCAGAUCGCAUCUUCCCUUUCUAAAGAGCUGUGUGCCCUGGUCUUCGGAGUCAACACGUUCCUCGCCACCAUCCUCAAGACCACCGUCACCCUCGUUGUUUCCGACAGGCGGGGCCUGGGCCUCCGGGUCCACACGCAGUUCCUCGUCUACUUCGUGUACUUCUUGGUGAUGUCCGCCGCCUACUUCCUGGGGGCUGUGCUGGUGGGCCUGCGGCACCUCCACAAGAGCCGCCACCAGCCCCUGCCCCUGGCCCAGGAGCUGAGCAGCCCCGAGGAGAAGGCCACGCAGGUGCUGAGCGUGCAGGACAGGGCCCUGCUGCCGGACCCAGAGAUCAGCACAUGGGCCACUGGGCCGGCCUCCAUGGAGCAGAGCCAGCAACCGGAGGCCAAGGCCUGACCUGGCUUGACCUGGCCUGACCUGCCCUCCCAGCCCGGCCCAGUGGGUGGCCAGAUCCCUGACACCAGAGGCAGCACACCCGUCGUCUCCACGUCCUCACCAAGCCUGAGACCUUGGUCACCACGCCUCCUGGUGUCCAGGUUUCGAGUGUUGUCCGAAUUUCAGUGUUCAGACUUUGGAGCCCCUACAUGGUCUGGCCCCAUGACCCAUGCCUCAGUGAGGGGGCUUGGCUUGUCCCGGGCAGCCCCGAGCCCUGCACCCCUCACCCCUACUUCACCUCUGCCAUGGCCUGGGGCCCGUGGGGACUCUGGCAGCUGCUGGCCACUGUGGGCUAGGUUGCUGUGCCUGGCCCUCAUGUGGACAGUGGUGGGUUUCCUGUGCCCACCACACCACCUGCCCUUCACCCUCUUGGGAGGCAAAUCCUGCUUGCCCCUGGGGACUGGCAAGGUGGCCCUGGAUGCCAGCCCUGCAGACUCCAGCCCCCAUGGGGUGUCCUGGGCCCUUGCAUUCCUGGGCCUGUGGCUAAACGGUGACAUUUCCUGUUGUCCAGGUGCUUGCAUUUUAAACAGUGCAGUGUUCCUUUUUUUUAACUGACUUAAUUGAGAAACCUCAUUUGGCUUCUCUUUUUCUGUGGGAGAAGCUGGGUGGGGGCAGGGCAGCGUUCCCCGCCAGGUGGAAGCAGGACACUGGGCCCUGGGAGCUGGUUCCUCACUUUACCCCAGGCCCUCCGUCGUCCUCCCGCCAUUCCUGAAGUGGGCUGAUGCUGACCUACCUCCUGCUGGUGGAGGGCCGCGUGGGGCUGCUCACAUGCCAGCCCAGUGGACUCACCCUGUGCCACCUGGUCGUGCCACCUGGGGGUCUGAGAACCAGUCCUGCAUCCCUCUGAGGUGUGAGAUGGUCUGCUCUUCUCGAAAUACAUUAAAGACCACACAACCUG